rnacentral:rRNA from 1 species
GUAGGUGGCAAGCGUUGUCCGGAAUUAUUGGGCGUAAAGCGCGCGCGGGCGGUUCUUUAAGUCUGAUGUGAAAGCCCGCGGGCUCAACCGUGGAGGGUCAUUGGAAACUGGAGAACUUGAGUACAGAAGAGGAAAGCGGAAUUCCACGUGUAGCGGUGAAAUGCGUAGAGAUGUGGAGGAACACCAGUGGCGAAGGCGGCUUUCUGGUCUGUAACUGACGCUGAGGCGCGAAAGCGUGGGGAGCAAACAGGAUUAGAUACCCUGGUAGUCCACGCCGUAAACGAUGAGUGCUAAGUGUUAGGGGGUUUCCGCCCCUUAGUGCUGCAGCUAACGCAUUAAGCACUCCGCCUGGGGAGUACGGCCGCAAAGGCUG